CCUGGACUGUCCUUUUCUUUUAUGUUUGUAUCUUCUUCUGUACAAUGACACCCCUCAUCAUGACAGGGGCCUUGGAGUGCUACUUUGAAUCUGAUGGGUGGGGCAUCGUUGCCUCUAGUAGUGAUGACUGCGGCUCCUCUGCUGCCCGUGGCAGACGCAAGGCCAGAUGCAGGUUCCAGA